rnacentral:lncRNA from 1 species
CUUGAAGAGCUUCAGUUGCCCCCAAAUGCCGAAGGCCACGUAAAACAGAUUCCCUGAAGAAAAAACUCUUCCUCACUCUGAAGGAAAAUGAAAAGCUCCGGAAGCGCUUGCAGGCCCAGAGGCUGGUGAUGCGAAGGAUGUCCAGCCGCCUCCGUGCUUGCAAAGGGCACCAGGGACUCCAGGCCAGACUUGGGCCAGAGCAGCAGAGCUGAGCCCCACAGGCUCCGGACGCAGAGGUGGCAGUGGCACCAGGGCCGGCAGAGCUUUGGAGCUCUGGCUGUGGACAUUUUUGUCUGCUGUGGACACUGAGAAAGUUGGCCAUGAGGCCUGCUUGGCCGGGGAUCGAGACAGUAGCCAAGCUCCCCGGCGAGAGCCCCAAUGCCGUCUGGGGGACGUUUAGAGGCGUGGCACUAGGAGUGCACAUCUGUGAGCAUGACAAGCUUAUCCUCCCAUGGUAACAGAAGUCCAGGCUGAGGCUGAUUCUGGACGCUGUCCUUUCAGCACACGCAGAGCAAAGAUCGUUGGAAGCCCCAGUGUGGGAGAUGCUCCUCAGGGAGGAAGCCAUGUGAGGGGGCUGGCUCUGUGGCGGGUGAGUGGUCCCCUCCUCCAUCAGCCUGGACAGCCGCUCGGGGUUCUAAGGAGUGACUCCUGUCCCGGCCUGGUGUGAGUGGGCAGUGUAAUAAAGUGUCUUUCUAUACGGUGUCGCUCCCAUCAUCAUUUUCUCUAGUGCCGUGAUUCCUUCUAAGAAGACUGACUUCCGUGGCCGGGCGCAGUGGCUCAUGCCUGUAAUCCCAGCACUUUGAGAGGCCGAGGUGGGGAGAUCACUUGAGGUCAGGAGUUCAAGACCAGCCUGGCCAACAUGGUGAAAUCCCAUGUCUACUAAAAAAGACACAAAUUA